GAAUGUUAAAAAGGAAGUUGAAUUUAAGCCUAGUGAGGGUAACACUUUAUGUCUUUUUUUUUCCUGUUGAAAACCCAACAUCUAGAACAAUGCUCAGUACAUAGAUGAUGAUCACUAACUACUUGUUUAUUGUAUGUGUGAGUGUGGAAUGAGUGAAUAAGAGAACAAAGGCUCUUUUCUUUGCUAACUCUGGAAGUUAGAGAAAGUAAUUUAUUCAUUUUUUAAUAGAUGAGGAAAUGAAGUCUCAGAAGAAUCAAUUUAUGAGAAGUCGCUUGGUGAAGUGUAGAAUGAUAUACAAAUACAUAUCCAUUAUUAAUUGACACAAUAAUGCUGUGAAACCACCACACACUUCAGCAGUGUAUGGUAAUAAAUAUUUAUGGCUCAGGUAAGCUGGGCUAGGCUGGAUGGUUCUUCUGGUCUCAGCUGGACUUUCCCUUUCUGAGCCUCACUUUACUCAUCUGUAAAAUGGGCAUGACAGUUGCAGAGCCCAUUUUGUGAAGAUUAAAUAAGGCAAUCUAGGACAUGGGCUUAGUCUUUAUGUCCUCAAAUACUGAGGGCUGGCCAGGACUUGAGGGACAUAAUGGAGACAAAAAUAGACACGAUUCUUAUUUCUGUUGGAAGCAGGAUGGUGGGGGUGAGGGUAUAGAUAGACAUCAUACAAAGAAAGGUGGAACUGAGCUGUAAUUGCUGCAGUGGAGGGAGGGUGCAUGUUGUUCUCUGACAGUUUCCAGUGAUAAAUUUAACCUCAUAAGGGAAGUCAGAGA
rnacentral:lncRNA from 10 species